UCUCUCUCUUCUCUCUCUCUCUCUCUCCCUCGCGCGAGCUGUCGCCAGCUCUCCCCUUCCGAUCAACGCAGCGGCCACCACAGGGCACGCCGAUCUACGGCGUUGGUACCUUCGGCUUCGUCUCGCCGCUGCCGUCACGCCACGACCAGUCUCCGCCCACGGGACGACCGGAGCUUGCCGGAAACUGGGAGAGAACCGCCGGAUUUCACCCGAUUUUCAGUCCCUUCGUUCUCCCUCGUUUCUCAACCAAAUCAAUCGAGUGAGGCACCAGGAGUCCAGCUAACCCACAUGAGGGACCUUCGAAGGGUCCAGCUAGCUCGGACCAGCAGCCGUAGAAGAAGGAAGGAAACCACCCGGGCCAUCAUCUUAGCUCCCGCCCCACCACCGAAGCGUAGGAUCUCGUUGUAACUUUUCUUAGUUCUGUAAAUUUGUAUAGAAAGGCUCUGAUAUCUUGUUGAACAUGAGAAACUGGAGUUGAGAUUUGUUGGUUGUAUUAAUCUGGCGGUUGGUGUAUUA